rnacentral:rRNA from 1 species
GGACGAACGCUGGCGGCGUGCUUAACACAUGCAAGUCGAACGGAAAGGCCCUGCUUUUGUGGGGUGCUCGAGUGGCGAACGGGUGAGUAACACGUGAGUAACCUGCCCUUGACUUUGGGAUAACUUCAGGAAACUGGGGCUAAUACCGGAUAGGAGCUCCUGCUGCAUGGUGGGGGUUGGAAAGUUUCGGCGGUUGGGGAUGGACUCGCGGCUUAUCAGCUUGUUGGUGGGGUAGUGGCUUACCAAGGCUUUGACGGGUAGCCGGCCUGAGAGGGUGACCGGCCACAUUGGGACUGAGAUACGGCCCAGACUCCUACGGGAGGCAGCAGUGGGGAAUAUUGCACAAUGGGCGGAAGCCUGAUGCAGCAACGCCGCGUGCGGGAUGACGGCUUUCGGGUUGUAAACCGCUUUCGCCUGUGACGAAGCGUGAGUGACGGUAAUGGGUAAAGAAGCACCGGCUAACUACGUG